rnacentral:rRNA from 1 species
AACUUUGAGGCGGUGGAUCACUCGGCUCGU